rnacentral:rRNA from 1 species
GCGUAGGUGGCAAGCGUUGUCAGGAAUUAUUGGGCGUAAAGCGUCCGCAGGCGGUCUUACAAGUCUGUCGUUAAAGCGUGGAGCUUAACUCCAUUUCGGCGAUGGAAACUGUAAGACUAGAGUGUGGUAGGGGCAGAGGGAAUUCCCGGUGUAGCGGUGAAAUGCGUAGAUAUCGGGAAGAACACCAGUGGCGAAGGCGCUCUGCUGGGCCAUAACUGACGCUCAUGGACGAAAGCUAGGGGAGCGAAAGGGAUUAGAUACACCUGUAGUCCUAGCCGUAAACGAUGAACACUAGGUGUCGGGGGAAUCGACCCCCUCGGUGUCGUAGCCAACGCGUUAAGUGUUCCGCCUGGGGAGUACGCACGCAAGUGUG